GAUGAACGCUGGCGGCGUGCCUAAUACAUGCAAGUCGAACGCAGUGGGGACGGGUGAGUAACACGUGGGUAACCUCCCAUCAGAGGGGAAAACACUUGGAAACAGGUGCUAAACCGAUACUGUUGGCUGAACCCGGGGGGCAUGAGCUAGUGGGUGAGGUAACGGCUCACCAAGGCCACGAUGCAUAGCCGGCCUGUGAGGGUGAUCGGCCACACUGGGACUGGGAAACGGCCCAGACUCCUACGGGAGGCAGCAGUGGGGAAUCUUCGGCAAUGGACGAAAGUCUGACCGAGCAACGCCGCGUGAGUGAAGAAGGUUUUCGGAUCGUAAAGCUCUGUUGUUAGAGAAGCGGUAUCUAACCAGGAAGCCACGGCUAACUACGUGCCAGCAGCCGCGGUAAUUC
rnacentral:rRNA from 1 species